GUAUUCUGUAACACUUCCGUUAAAUUUUAGUGGCCUCUAAAAUUUUAGCGCCCGCUAAAAAUAUUUUGGUAUUCUGUAAAUCAUACAUCCGUUAAAAUCAUAACCUAAACCGUUAAAACUCCCUCUAAAUAAAAAUAUUUUAGAGGAUGUCAAAACGUACCCGCUAAAUUUUUAGCAGUCCGUUAAAUGUGGUUUGAUUAUUUUUGUUGGGUUAUGUUUGUAUGAAUAGUACUUUGUUAUUCUUGUAUUAUACUGGAGAUAAAUAUUUAAAAAUGGGAAAUGGCUUUUUAUAAUGUAUUUGGUGAAGAAGUACUUAAUAAAUAAUAAUGAAAGAGCUGAUUUCAGAUUACAACAUAAACACAAAGUAAAUAAUUGACCUGAAAGUAAAUAACUACAAUUACCAUUUCAAAGGAAGUAGGUAAUACCUACCUAAGUACGUAGAAAUGUUAUUGAAAAAGUGUUGGAAGUCAAAGAUGUUUGUCAAAGCAAUUAAAUCCUAUUAAUGCAGGUAAAAUUAUUUAAAGUUAUUGUGGAACAUUACAAAACGUACCAAAUGAUUACAAAGGUAAAGUUUCAGAAGGUUUAUAACCAGAUGCAGAUUAAUAAGAUGACCUUAAUGUUAUUGAAAAUAGACCAUUUGAACAAAAUUAGUGUCGAAGGGGAGAAGAAAAAAUAAGAUAUGCAUUUUUUCAGCAAUAUUUUAAUGUAUAACUUUAUAAAUAAAAAUGUUUAAUUGGAAAAUAUGAGUUUUACUAAAAAAUAAUAUUAAAUAUAAUAAGUAUUAUUUUCUAGGAAACUGUCAUUUUCUUCUUCUUCUUAAGGUUUUUGGCCUCUAACAGUCAGUUUUCGGUCAAUUUCUAGGUUAAAAGUAGUUCAAAACGAUCAACGUGCGACGUUGCCGUAUUUGUUCCAAAACCUUUUAGAGGAUUCCUCUAAAAUAAUAUUAUUUUAGCGGUCCUCUAUAAUAUGUGUUU
rnacentral:lncRNA from 1 species